GGGUGGUAAUGCCGGAUGCUCCAGUUGAUCGCAUGGUCUUCUGGGAAAGCUUUCGCGGUAUGGGAUGGGGUCGCGUCCUAUCAGCUUGACGGCGGGGUAACGGCCCACCGUGGCUUCGACGGGUAGCCGGCCUGAGAGGGCGACCGGCCACAUUGGGACUGAGAUACGGCCCAGACUCCUACGGGAGGCAGCAGUGGGGAAUAUUGCACAAUGGGCGCAAGCCUGAUGCAGCGACGCCGCGUGAGGGAUGGAGGCCUUCGGGUUGUAAACCUCUUUUAUCGGGGAGCAAGCGUGAGUGAGUUUACCCGUUGAAUAAGCACCGGCUAACUACGUGCCAGCAGCCGCGGUAAUACGUAGGGUGCAAGCGUUAUCCGGAAUUAUUGGGCGUAAAGGGCUCGUAGGCGGUUCGUCGCGUCCGGUGUGAAAGUCCAUCGCUUAACGGUGGAUCCGCGCCGGGUACGGGCGGGCUUGAGUGCGGUAGGGGAGACUGGAAUUCCCGGUGUAACGGUGGAAUGUGUAGAUAUCGGAA
rnacentral:rRNA from 1 species